rnacentral:rRNA from 1 species
UACAGAGGUCUCAAGCGUUGUUCGGAUUCAUUGGGCGUAAAGGGUGUGUAGGUGGCGCGCUAAGUCGGGUGUGAAAUUUCGGAGCUUAACUCCGAAACUGCAUUCGAUACUGGCGUGCUUGAGGACUGGAGAGGAGACUGGAAUUUACGGUGUAGCAGUGAAAUGCGUAGAUAUCGUAAGGAAGACCAGUGGCGAAGGCGGGUCUCUGGACCACUACUGACGCUGAGGCGCGAAAGCUAGGGGAGCAAACAGG